rnacentral:rRNA from 1 species
UACGUAGGGUGCGAGCGUUAAUCGGAAUUACUGGGCGUAAAGCGCGCGCAGGCGGUGAUGUAAGACAGAUGUGAAAUCCCCGGGCUCAACCUGGGAACUGCAUUUGUGACUGCAUCGCUGGAGUGCGGCAGAGGGGGAUGGAAUUCCGCGUGUAGCAGUGAAAUGCGUAGAUAUGCGGAGGAACACCGAUGGCGAAGGCAAUCCCCUGGGCCUGUACUGACGCUCAUGCACGAAAGCGUGGGGAGCAAACAGG